AUGCAGAUAUGCUACAAGUUCCAACUUGAGACGAUCAAGGUGAAAAAACGUUUCAUUUUGAAUCACACUGAACAUUUAGAUGUGUGGCGCAACAACACGAGCGAGGUUCAGCUUCUUCAAUAGACCUUUGAACAAAGUUAGUUGCCGAGUUUGAGAAAGUAGGGAGUGAACUCGACUUUAUUGGUGGCAUUUUUUUAAAAAGCCACUCCGAUCGUGUAAACACACAUGACACCAUACCGGUAGUGGCGCUUCGGGGAGAGAAAUGUAAAUAAUGGCUGAAUCUUUUAAGGAGAAUAAGCACGAUAGGCGGGCUAGAGUUAGCACGUCGCUAAGAAGCUAAUGCUAAAGGAUGCUAGGCCCACGAAGUGGUGCCUCGCACCCCGGGUCGCGUGGAUGGAAAAUGCCCGAGUGUUUACCUCACAAGCGCAAGGACGGUCAGGGACGAAGGGCCUCUCCGGUAGCUCCUUGUGGCGGCGUAUCCCAAGCGAGAUAUCCUCAUGGGCUACGAGGAGCAAACGCCGGCCGGAGCGUCCGAAAUGAAGCUGCUGCUAGGACUAAGCCAAUUUUGAGUCUGCUGCUGCACCUUGCUCAUUUGCAUGCCGGGUGUGGGAAUCCUCCAGGGAGCGUCUGAAAGUGGGAGAUAUCGCCCAGGGCCGAGCGUGUGAUUUUGAGCAGUGGGCAACCCAUGCUGGCGUCCGGUCGAAAGGAUGUUGAAAAGCGCACCAGUGCCAAAAGCAGAUCUGUACGAAUCCACAUUUUAUGGGGAAAUAUUCCCUGGAACUGCAAAUAUUGUCAAUGUUGCCCCAUAAUGAUGAUGAAACGUUCUACAUGACUCACUCGCUCACAUUCUACUUGUCUGUGCUAUUUCCUGUCAAAUAAUUUGCCACCAGAUCACGUAGAAUCAAUUAGUGAGAACAACUUUCAUCUCCAAAUAUAUUUGACAUGGAGAUUUGCGAGUUCCGUAGAAGAUGUUGUCAUGGAAACCUCUGGACAAAAUUCAAAUGGAUUAAAAUGUUCCUGAUUUCAGAAGCAGCAAGCCGCCUGGAGGACAAAGCUAACGUUUCUUGUCUGAGAUUAGCACGCGAGCGCUAGUUGAUGAGCAUCAAAAACUCGUGUUAAGCGUAAAGCGUGGCGAUCCAUUUUUCAUUUGAUUAAGUCAAAGAUAGCCAACUGAACCGCAACCACUUUAUUAUCUCCAGUCUUCAAAAGGGCCACCCUAAAAAUAAAGAUGAAUCAUAAAAAAAAUGCAAGAAAAAGAUUAGCCCAAAAUAAAGUUGUGUUUACUGGGGGAAAAAAAUCACAAUAUAUCAGAAUAAAUUUGUUGUUAUUUUGACAAAUCCAUAUCUUCAUAUCAUUUUAUUUAGUUAAACAUUUCAUACCUAUUUACAAAAAGCACCAACAGAAAAUAACAUCUUUGGCUGUGAUGCAUUUGUAUAUUUACAACAACAGAACAUCAAAAAACAAAACUGCAUUCACAUUGAGAUCAGUGCCACAUGCACAAACUGCCACUAGGAAUCAAAAAUGUUUUUGCCACAUGAACUGUGUGUGUUUUGAUGGCUUUCUUUGACCCUAUAGAAUGCAGUGCUGCUGUCCGUUGAAGAUUAUCAGGAUGAAAUUCAGCGUUUCCCAGAGCGUGACCUCAGAUGAGCACACCCACAGAAAA